UUCGUGCUAGUCAGAACGACUUUCAAUCUAAUGUAUUUCAAUAGGAAGUAUUUUUCGUGCCUGCACCACGUUUUUUUUGUCCUAUUAUUUUUUUCGUGUUUAUAAGCACGAAUUUAAUCUAAUGUAUUGCAAUAGUAUAUACCAGGGAUUGUUUUACUUUAUUUGUCAUUAAUUGAUUACACUUUAAGCGCUACUUUACUCAACAUUUAAUCAGGAGAUGUUUAUCCUAUAAUAUUGAUUUUUCGAUCGGUUUCGUGUGUCAAAUACAAGAGUAAAUACUACACUACCCAUGAGCCUUAUCGACAUCUACUAUGGUGAAGGCACCAGCUAAAACUACAUGUGGGCCCGCUGCAGAUCACAAUAUUUUCUCAACACAUGAACACUAACGUGUGCUUGAUAAUUCAACAAUACGAUGUUAUGGCCAUCAAUUUUGAUUGUUUCUACUUUGAUUGUAAAAAAAAAUAAGUCAGUUUCGGACGCCUGCAUUUCCCAGAAUCCUCUCUGCCUCCGUUGCUAUGGAAUCUGAGCCAGUCCUCUUUGCUAUUGGGUGAUUUCUUCUUCGGUACUCGUAAUUGACAGGGAUUCUCUCAUACGCGAAAAUCAUUGUCCAGGUAAGUGAUGCUUUCGUUUAAAGUUCACUAUUUGUUUAAAUGUUAUAAUUCACACCUUUCUUUUGGCAUUACGCUGACAUUGCCAUACCCGUACGAAAAUUAACCAUGUUUUUGUGGUAAAAGUGUAGUAACUACGGUUUGUGUAUCGAUUAUUUGCAAAAUGGUUUUACUAAACCAAACAUGGUUUAACUUUUUUUUUUUCAAAUUCAUGGUUCUUUCUUAACUUGCAACCUAUCUCUAUAUACUGCAUCUGUUGUACCUGUCUGUCCAGCUGUGUGUUUGUCUUUCUGUCUUUGUCUGCUUUGCAAUGGCCACCAGAUAUACCCCUCACAAACAGGAUCCCCACUACCAAGAGGGGAGGCUCAUGGCUCUUGAGCUGAACCAUGACCACAUUCUAGCUGAAGCCAAGAGCAGCUGUGGAGACGAAACGUUUAUGCCCUAGAAGAGACCCUUCACAGACCUCUAAAAGGAUCUUUGUUGGCUGGGGCAAGCUGAGGGGGAGGCAAGGAGGGUGACGCCAAGCCUCAGCUACAGGUCACUUUUACAGGUUGAGUGCUUCCUGUCAUCCAGUGUAGAGUUUCCACUUAACUGUACCCUCAGCAAAACUAAAUCCUCAUGAGGAAUUUGGUGCAGAGAGUGGUUCUGUGGGGACCGUGAUGUAUUACGUCACAAAAAACAGCCACUCCCCAAUAGGGAAUGUGUAAUUAAUAGUUUUUUUGUAGCCAUCCGUCCAACCAAAUGCAUCAUUAAAGGGGAAGAUGGAUAUUGCACUCAACACAAGGGCGUUUUGACUUGCCUCAGCCACUGUAUGUCUGUUAAACAUGCAAACAGCAAAGGACCCCAGACCUGAAAGACCUUCUGAGGAGUGGAUAUUGGCCAGCUUCAAUAAACAACACCACACUUUACACACUGGACCUCCUGAUCUCCUUUCAAGAACUCAAGGUCAUCUCUCCAAGAUUCUCCAGACAAGCCUUCGCAAAGCUGCUGGAGCAUCGCACGAAGUGUGGAGGAAGAUUUGGAUAUAUCAACGGCGAUGCACUGCAAUGCAGCUUCUUGGAGUUUUCAUACGCUUAAUUUGAAUCAGACCAGCUCUGGUGUGGUGCUCCUUUCACCUGCCCAGCCUGAACGCUAGAAUUGUUGGCUGCUUCAGCAGAUCGAAACAGAAAGCUAUAUCGCUUUUGCCCAAACAGAAGACUGUGGCUUGCAAAUAUUGGCCAUUUGAAGAAAGUUGCUAGUGUCCUUCCUGAUCUUCAGGAGCUGACCUCAAUGAAACCUUUCCUUAAUGUUAUGCAUGCUUGAGCCACACAAAAAAGUUUGAGAUUAAAUGAAGUGGUAGGAACCAGGAAGGAACAGGGACAACCACCGGUGAGUGGAGCAAGUGAACAGCUACCUUUCACGUUGUGCCCGUACAACCAAAUAUAUGUCCAAAGCAGGGGUGGACAUGCUUACAUUGCAUGCAAUGGGCUGGAACCAUAAAAAAGUAUCUCUCUACAUCAGGCACGUUCCACAAUAUAUGUGAAAACAUCCAGCACGAGACUGCAAGGCUAGCAGAACUAAAAACAAAGCUACAUCCCACAGAUAAAGGAACGUCACAAUGGCUUUCUGAUGUGAAAGAAUGGGUAGCUCGUGGUACUACUAUGUGAAAUUUUUAGUUUGAUAUUAAACAAGUGCCAAAGAUGGCAGGCUUAUCAUCUAUUUCUUAACCUCCUAAGACCUGGUGUGUCCACAUACAUGGACAUCACAUUUUUUGUUGUUUGCAUCAUAAUACUUUAUUCUGUGUAACUGGAACCUGGUACACAAACAUGAACAAUUACACUGCUUCAUUUUCAAAAAAAAAAAAUAUUUGGUUAAUAUAUUUAUUGAUUUUUCCUGACCCCAAAUAGCUGGAAGAAAUCUAAAAUGCAAGCCAAACCAAAGCUCGGGUCUUAGAAGGUAAAACAGUUGGUGACAUCUCCUGCCACCAUAAACAAGCCAACUUCAUCUCAUAAUCAAAUGUUAUUGCACAUUUAUGUUGUGUUUAUGUUUAUUAUAGUUUAUUUGCAGGAACCAUACAUAUCAAGUAAAGUUGUUUAAACCAUUAAAAUGGCUUUUAUAUACAAAUUUAACCUCUGAAAUGUUUGUGUGUUGUUUAAACAGUGAAUUUGCUUUCAUUAUCACUUCUACAGAGACAUCAGAAACAUCUCAUGCCAGUCAAGGCACCACACACAGAGAACUUCAGCAGUCAAUUGAGGGGCUUUAUCUUAGUGUGAUGCUGCGCAAGCAAACUCUCUACUGUCAGAAUGACAGCAGCAAGCUUUGCCACCGCCUUCAAAGGAAGCUGGCAGAUGACAAAAGCUCAUUCUUCAGGAGAUACAGAACUACAAUGAUCUUGUACUAGACUCUGUCACAAACAUUGACCUAGCUGUGGUGGAGCAUUCCCUCACUGGAGAGAGCAGUGUGUCUCAGAUAUGACCGUGGGACCUUCAUGGCAGUGCAAACAUUUCAGUCAAGAAACGAUUGCAUGACCAAGUGAUGUUGACAAUGCGACUGCACGAGGAAAGGGGCAUUGUGGUGUUGGAGAUGGCUCAACAAUACACAUGGUUGCAGAGCCUGGCAGUGGCUCUCAAGAACAAGAUGGCUGAGGAGGACAAGGGAAAUGAAGGACUUUGCUGUCUCUUAAGAAGAAGAUCGUCAGUGGUGUCAGAAGGGUUACAAGUCGUCCUUCAACAAUACAAGACUGCAUUAGGUCUUGAGGCCUCUGUCCUUCUACAUGUUGAAGAAGAAGAUCAAAGUGACCUCAGCAGUCCAGAUACCAGCGAGGAUGAAGAGGAAAACAUAAUUUAGAUAGAAACUGCACAAAGGACUGCGUUUAAGGAAAUGGACUUGGCAUAUAUCUGUGUAGUGUUAGUAUGCUAACUACAUUAUUAUCUGUAUGCAUCCUUUAUUGUUAAAAUGUUCAACCUGUGUCUAGAUUAUCAAGCAUGUUAUUUAGCACGUUGAUGCUCCUUAAAUAUGCACAAACAUCUCAAUAUAGGUGCAAGAAUCGUAUGAUAUUAUCAGAUGUAAUAAUUGAACUUAUGUUAUAUUUGGAUAGUGUAUCCAUAAUUUGUGUAUUUAAAGUUGCUAAUGGGCAUUGUUAGCCACAUCACAAACUCACUGUUAAAACACUGCUUAUUGUGCCUUAUUGUGUUUAUGUACUUGCAUUGGUGCAGUAAUAUUGAAUGCAGUAAGGUCAUUGGUGUGUUUUAGCUUUGAACACAUAACACAGAGCUCAACCAAUCAGAAUAAUCAUUGAUAAUGAAGUAAAAGUUUUAAACGGGUAAGUUGAUAUGAAAUAUUGUAAGCACAUUCAUCAGGAUGACUUUGCUGACCUUGUGACCUUUAUUACCACAUUUAGGCCAAAAUGUGAAAACUCUACUUGAUUGAGUGUAUUAUAGGAUAUAACUGUUGUGCACCAUUGAAGAUAAACAUCAUAAAUUCUUUCUUAAAGAUGGAUAAUUUGUUGGCAAUGUGUCUGUCACUAUUAAACACUAGUAUGCAAAAGAAAAAUACACUAGAUUUGUAUUUUAUGAUUAUACUUAUAUUGUGUAUUACUACAUUUGAUAGAUAACUUUAUUCCCUGUUCUGCUGGUGGUUUUCAAGUGAACUUCACAGUCUAGUGUUAUUAAAUUCAGCCUUAUGGCUUGAUUGACAAAUUUGCAUUUCAUGUAUUUUCACUGCUUUUAUUGUGAAAGACAAAAAAUAAAGUGUUUCUAAACAUGA